GAUGAACGCUGGCGGCGUGCCUAAUACAUGCAAGUCGAGCGAACGGACGAGAAGCUUGCUUCUCUGAUGUUAUCGGCGGACGGGUGAGUAACACGUGGAUAACCUACCUAUAAGACUGGGAUAACUUCGGGAAACCGUAGCUAAUACCGGAUAAUAUUUUGAACCGCAUGGUUCAAAAGUUAAAGACGGUCUUGCUGUCACUUAUAGAUGGAUCCGCGCUGCAUUAGCUAGUUGGUAAGGUAACGGCUUACCAAGGCAACGAUGCAUAGCCGACCUGAGAGGGUGAUCGGCCACACUGGAACUGAGACACGGUCCAGACUCCUACGGGAGGCAGCAGUAGGGAAUCUUCCGCAAUGGGCGAAAGCCUGACGGAGCAACGCCGCGUGAGUGAUGAAGGUCUUCGGAUCGUAAAACUCUGUUAUUAGGGAAGAACAUAUGUGUAAGUAACUGUGCACAUCUUGACGGUACCUAAUCAGAAAGCCACGGCUAACUACGUG
rnacentral:rRNA from 1 species